rnacentral:piRNA from 1 species
ACUCUGUAGACCAGGCUGACCU